rnacentral:rRNA from 1 species
CAGCAGCCGCGGUAAUUCCAGCUCCAAUAGCGUAUAUUAAAGUUGUUGCAGUUAAAAGCCGUAGUUGAAUUUCGGGGUUAGUAGGUUGGUCAUGCCUCUGGUAUGUACUGGUCUCACUAUUCCUCCUUCCUGAUGAGCCGUAAUGCCAUUAAUUUGGUGUUGCGGGGAAUUUGGACUUUACUUUGAAAAAAUUAGAGUGUUUAAAGCAAGCUAACGCUUGAAUACAUUAGCAUGGAUAAUGAAAUAGGACGUUCGAUCCUAUUUUGU